CAAACGGAAGAUGAACACGGUCAAAGCUUAAUAAGAGAAGAUUGACGAGUCCAGAACCUCAAGUCUGAGAUUAGGAUUAUCCCUGGAAAACUACAAAGAUUAGAAAACAGCAUUAAGGUUGUCCCAGCCUGGAAAAAGAUCCAAACCCUGAAAGUUUUGAGCCGUUUGAAUAAAAUCUGCCUGCAGCUGAAUUCACUGCAGAACCAACUGA